rnacentral:rRNA from 1 species
GGGUGGUACACAGCUGUUGCAUGGCUGUCGUCAGCUCGUGACGUGAGUUGUUCUCUUAAGUGAGGUAACGAGCGCAACCCCCAUUCUGUGUUACUAUGUCACAGAAGACUGCCCAGCAUUAUUUGUUGGGAGGAAGAGGGACGACGUCAAGUCAUCAUGAUGCUUAUAUCCGGGGCUACACACAUCCUACAAUGGGUGGUACAGAGGGUCGCAAUACCGCGAGGUGGAGCUAAUCCUUAAAACCUCCCUCAGUUGGGAUUGCAGGCUGAAACUCGCCUGCAUGAACUUGGAAUUGGUAGUAAUCGCAAAUCAGCAGAUUGCGGUGAAUACGUUCUCGCCUCUU